rnacentral:rRNA from 1 species
UAAAUUUGGGGCAUGGAUCUUGCUGUUCUCGAUGUGAAAAGAUUUAGAAGGUUAUUUAUUUUACUGUUACAUAAGUAUUUAUAAUAGCUUUUUGGUAGUGAAACGUUAUUCGGUUUUCGGGGUAUCUAGUUAUUCAGGAAAUAAAUUUAAUUUUGCCAGCUUUAUAUUAAGACCAAUUUAUUGGUUUAGUUGUGUUGCUGAGUAAUACUUAAGGGGAUAAGCUUUUAAGUAGAAUUCUAUAAUUUUUUAUGUUUACAAUUAAUCGUAGGAUUAGAAGUUUCCAUCGAUAAUAUGGUGUUAUAACAGUUUUUUGUUUUAUUUGAUUUAAAUUAAAUUUAGGUUGUUUACUGAAUUAAUUUGUUUAAUUUUAGUUCUUUUGCAAUAAUGAUGGAAUUAGUAUAUUAUAAUGUAUGAUUAAUUGUAUGUGUUAGAUUAUUUUAAGGAACUCGGCAAAUAUUUUUUCGCCUGUUUAUUAAAAACAUGUCCUUUUGAUGAUGAUUUAAGGUCUGGCCUGCCCACUGAUGAAAUUUAAAGGCCGCGGUAUUUUGACCGUGCAAAGGUAGCAUAAUAAUUAGUUUUUUAAUUGGAAGCUGGAAUGAAUGGUCGGACGAGAAAAAUACUGUCUCAAAUUAAUUAGUAGAAUUUUAUCUUUGAGUUAAAAAGCUCAAAUGGUUUUAAAAGACGAGAAGACCCUAUAGAGUUUUAUAUUUGUUUGGUUAUUUAUGUUUUGGUAAUAUUAAUUUAAUUGCUAGGCAAGUAUUUUGUUGGGGCGACAGAAAAAUUGACUUAACUUUUUCUUUAUUAUUACAUUAAUUUAUGGUUAGUUGAUCCGUUUUUUACGAUUAUAAGAUUAAAUUACCUUAGGGAUAACAGCGUUAUUCCUUUUGAGAGUUCUUAUCGAAAAAGGAGUUUGCGACCUCGAUGUUGGAUUAAAAUUUACUGUUGGUGCAGUAGCUGAUAGGUUAGGUCUGUUCGACCUUUAAAAUUUU